rnacentral:lncRNA from 1 species
GAUUCUCUGAUCCUUGUGUGGGGUAUUUUGGAUAUGGUGAAGUAUGCAUGAAGGUUAUGAGUGAUCAAUAAGGAAUCAGUCAUUCCUAAUAAAGAGAGCGAACAUCCUAUGUGAUCUCAUAGAAUGAUGAUUCUGAAAGUCUUUGGCCAAAGCAGGAUGAUAAUUAGAAAAGAAUUUCUAAUAUAUCAUCCAUUGAAUCAUCAUCUUUUGAUCGAGAUACAUAUAGAUAAGCAAUUGAGUUUGACAUGAUUCCAUGCCCACAGCUCAUCUGGGAUAUUGUUUGACUGAAAGAUUGAAUUACAGAUAACUUACCAUUAAAAGAUAUUUUGAUAAUUUUUUAUCAAAAUUUUAAAUCUUUUGGAUAGUCAUGACACAUUGCUAGAUGUCAAUUUGGACUUGUGAACUUGUUAGAAUUAAAAAAGUUUAAUUCAAGAAUUAACUAGAAAGAGUCUUAGUUGAUUGAGACUCUGAGCUGACCUAAUCUGAUCAGAUUAGGAUUACAUCAAGAGUCUAUUUCUACUGCUGGCUAGAUUUGAAACCCAAUGGGUCAC